GCCGGGCGUGGUGGCUCACGCCUGUAAUCCUAGCACUUUGGGAGGCUGAGGUGGUUGAAUCACCUGAGGUCAGGAGUUCAAGACCAGCCUGGCCAACAUGGUGAAACCCCAUCUCUA
rnacentral:SRP_RNA from 1 species